CCUACGGGUGGCUGCAGUGAGGAAUAUUGGUCAAUGGCCGCAGGGCUGAACCAGCCAAGUCGCGUGAGGGAUGACGGUCCUAUGGAUUGUAAACCUCUUUUGUCAGGGAGCAAAGUCACCCACGUGUGGGUGUUGGAGAGUACCUGAAGAAAAAGCAUCGGCUAACUCCGUGCCAGCAGCCGCGGUAAUACGGAGGAUGCGAGCGUUAUCCGGAUUUAUUGGGUUUAAAGGGUGCGUAGGCGGGUUAUCAAGUCAGCGGUAAAAUCGUGGAGCUCAACUCCAUCCAGCCGUUGAAACUUAUGAUCGUGAGUGGGCGAGAAGUAUGCGGAAUGCGUGGUGUAGCGGUGAAAUGCAGAGAUAUCACGCAGAAAUCCGAUUGCGAAGGCAGCAUACCGGCGCCCGACUGACGCGGAAGCACGAAAGCGUGGGUAUCGAACAGGAUUAGAUACCCGGGUAGUC
rnacentral:rRNA from 1 species